rnacentral:rRNA from 1 species
UACAGAGGUGGCAAGCGUUGUUCGGAAUUACUGGGCGUAAAGGGCGCGUAGGCGGCCUUCUAAGUCAGACGUGAAAUCCCCCGGCUUAACCUGGGAACUGCGUCUGAUACUGGAGGGCUUGAGUAUGGGAGAGGGAUGUAGAAUUCCAGGUGUAGCGGUGAAAUGCGUAGAUAUCCGGAGGAACACCGGUGGCGAAGGCGGCUUCCUGGACCGACACUGGACGCUGAGGCGCGAAAGCUAGGGGAGCAAACGGG